rnacentral:lncRNA from 1 species
UUUUUUUAUUUAUACUUGAAAAAAAGGUAAGAAAAUACACAUAACAUUAAGUUUACUCUCAAAUCUAUUUCUUUGGUCAGUAUGUUUGUGCAGAGGCCGGAACCAUACCAUUUUAAUCACAUAGGGUUUUUGUUUUUAAUAUGUGAAUUUCUAUUUUUAAAAAGAUUUUAUUUAUUUGACAGAGAGAGUGACAGAGCACAGCAGAGGUAGUGGUAGAGGGAGAGAGAGAAGCAGACUCCCUGCUGAGCAGGGAGCCCAAUGUGGGGUUUGGUCCCAGGACCCUGGGAUUAUGACCUGAGCCGAAGGCAGACGCUUAACUGACUGAACUGCCCAGGUGCCCCAACCACAUAGCUUUAUAGUAAAUUUUCAAAUCAGGAAAUGUGAGUCCUCGGAUUUGCUCUUUUUUUUCUUCCCAAAAUUGUAUUGGCUAUUUGGGGUCUCUUGAGAUUCAAUAUAGAUUUUCGGAUGAAUUUUUCUAUCUCUGCAAAAAAAGUUGGGAUUUUAACGGAGAUUGCGUUGAAUCUGUAGACCGAUCACCUCUUAAUAUUAAAUCAGGCACCCAGGGAAGAGGGGAAAAUAUUUGCAAAUCAUACAUCUGAUGUGGCAUGAAUGGCCACAUAUAUAAAGAACUCCUAUAACUCAACAACACAAAACACAAACAGCUCAAUUAAAAGAAGAGGGGGCCAAAAGACUUGAAUAGACGUUUCUGCAAAGAAGAUAUACAUAUGACCAAUAAUUGCCUGAAGAAAUGAGAAUUCGGAGUAUGAAUCCUAGGAAAUGCAAACCCAAACCCCAAUGAGAUACUAUUUCAUACCCAUUAGGAUGGCUAUUGUUAAAACAAAAUGAAACAAAGAAAAGCAGAAAGUAACAAGUGUUGUUGAGAAUGUGGAGAAAUGGGAACCUUGGUGCCCUGCUGGUAGGAAUGGAAAAUGCACCAGCCACCAUACAAAACAGAAUGGCAGUUCCUAAAAAAGUUAAACAUAUCGCCACCACAUGAUCCAGCGAUCCCACUUCUGGGUAUUUACCCAAAAGAGUUGAAAGCAUGUUCUCAAAGAGGUAUUCAUUCACCCAAUGUUCACAGCAGGAUUAUUCAGAAACAGUCAAGAGGUACAAGCAACCCAAGUAUCUAUCCAUUGACAAAUGAAUGGAUAAACAAAAGGUGGCCCAUCCAUACAACAGAAUGAUAUUCAGCCUGAAAAAGGAAGGACGUUCUGGCACCUGGCACAACAUGGAUGAACCAUGAGGCUAUCACGCUCAUCAAAAUAAGCCAGACACCAAAGGACAAAUACUGUAUGAUUCCACUUAUAAAAGUGACCUAAAGGAGUCUCAUCCACAGAGACAGAGAGUAGAUGGUGGGAGCCAGGAGUGGGGAGUCAGUGCUUCCUGGGGACAGGGUUCCGUGUUGGGAGAUGGAAAGUUCUGGAGAUCGGUGGUGGGGGUGGUUGCAUAACAGUGUGGGUGGGCUUCAUGCCACUGAGCUGUGCACCUUAAAAUGGUUAAGAUGGCACAUUUAAAAAAAUAUUUAUUCAUUCAUUCAUUCAUUCAUUCAUUCAUUUAAGAGAGUGGGAAUAGGGGCAGAGGAGAAAAUCCACAAGGAGACUCCCAGGUGAGUGCAGAGGCCCGCCACGGGGCUCCAUCCCAGGACCCAUGAGACCCCGACCUGAGCCUGAGCCGAAACCAAGAGUCAGACACCUAAUCGACUGAACCACUCAAGCACCCCAACGAUGGUACAUUUUCUAUUUUGUAUUUUAUCACAAUUGGAAAUUAAGAAAGAAAACAGAAAGAAUGGAAGAGAGGAAGAGAAGGAGGAAGAGCCAAAUCUAGCCUCACAACUUUUUGUACAGCCUUUGAUCCAAAGAUGUUUUUUAUCUUUUUAUCUUUUUUUUAAAAUACUUUAUUUAUUUAUUUGACAGAGAGAAGGAGAGAGAGAGAAGGUGCACACAAGUAGGGGGAACAGCAAAGGGAAAAGGAGAAGCAGUCUCCCUGCUGAGCAGAUCCAUGUGGGGCUGGAUCCCAGGACCCUGAGAUCAUGACCUGAGCUGAAGGUAAAUGCUUAACCGAAUGAGCCACCCAAGUGCCCCUAAGAUGUUUUAUCUUUUAUUUUAUUUUAUUUUUUUGUUUUAUGUUUUAAAUGUUUGUAUACAUGCUGCCGAAGCGAGCACUCUUUUAAAUGUUUGAAGAAAACAGAAGAAUAUUUCCUAACAUAAGACAAUUAUAUACAAUUCAGAUUUCAAUAUUUAUAGUUUUAUUGGCACAUAGCUGUGCCUGUUAGUUUA